rnacentral:tRNA from 1 species
GGCGCGGUAGCCAAGUAGCUAAGGCAUCGGUCUGCAAAACCGAUAACGUGGGUGCAAUUCCCAUCCGCGCCU